rnacentral:lncRNA from 1 species
CUUGUCCAAUUUACUCUAAUAAUGUUUUAUUUAAAACUUAGAAAAAUCUGAUUUUAUAGUGCAGUCAUUCCAUUUUAAAAAUUAUACUUUAAGUUCAUAUUUAAAAUAGCCAUUUGAUAGUUUGAAAUGUCUAAUAAAUAGUCUUAAAUUGUCAGAUGACAUAUCUUGACUAAUUUAGUUCUCAUUGUUGUGUUUUGUUUUCUCAGCUGCUGGAUGGUUUGGAUGUCCUGAAGAGUAACCCUUUGGGUCGGUUUAAGCAGCAGUUCAUUGCUCAGAGUAUCACUGGAACCUUUGGGAAUCUCACUGUCGACCAGAUCAGGAGGUUAGUUUAAUACAAUGAUGUUUUACUCCGUUCAGAUCAAAUUAAUACAAUUCCCUGAAUGUUCUUUUUUUUUCAGAUUUGGGACAUGUGUAAAAUGUAAAUGUAAAAAGUUUCCUCUCGCACCCCUCCAGGUUAGGUAAUCUGUCCUGUCUGGCUCACCCCAGCCAGCUGAUGGCAUAUGCAGGAACAGAUGCCUUCUCAGUGAUCCAGGACAACAUCAGGACGUGUGUGGUCCAGGGUUUAAGUGUUCCUAGCAAUAUGGUCAGUAAACAUCAGCUCGUCUAAUUUUAAUCGUUGUAACUUAAAUUCACCCUCUUCGUUAAAGAACAACCCCCACUUGAAAAAUAUCCCUUACGAAAAUGAAUUAUGGUUUUACAGUAGUAAAAGGGAAUUAACCAUGUUUUUGUAUUGAUUGAUUGACAUAUUGAUUAUCGUUUGUAUAACCACAGUUUUAAUACAAAAACCGCGGUUGAACUAUGGUUAGUGUAGCAAAACCAUGAUUAAUUUGUGGUUACCGCAGUUUAACUACAGUAACCAUGUUUUUUUGGUUUUAUUUGUGGUAAAACUAUGGUUAAUUUUUCGUAUAGGAUUGGUACAUAUAAAAUAGCCUCAAGUUUGUGGUUACUUUUUGUUUUGUGUCCAGAUUUCCAGCUUGAUCUUGAGAUCGUCUGACCUGCAGUCUCCCUCCAGUCUCACUCCUCAGAGAGUCUCUGAGCUUGGCCCUUUUCUGCCCCUGCUGGGAUCCAGUGUCCUGCAGCAGCUGACCUCAGCCCAGCUCAUGCCUGCCCUCAGCACCCUCGCCUCUGUGCCUUUCACCCCUGUACAGGCACGUAUCAUCUUCGACAAGAUCUCAGCCAAUUUUAGUGUGAGUAUAUCUUGAGGAAAGCUGUGCUUGCUCUGAUAU